UUAGGCUUGGAGUGUUGACAGCAUUGGUUGGAGUAAGCGGGGCUGGAAAAACCACGCUAAUGGAUGUCUUGGCUGGAAGAAAAACUGGAGGUGUUGUGAAGCCGCUCUGCUGGCCGUGCUGGGAAACCUGCAGUUAGAUGGACUAAGAUACAAAGUUGGUUUGAGGAUAGGCUCCAAGACUUACCAGAUGACCCUAAUAAUGAAUUGAUGAUUCUCGAAGACCCUGAAUGUAAUAAGGAAGGAUUCAAUCGCAAAUGGAAUCCCUUUGGAAGAUUUUGGACAUGGUCAUCCUGAUCCUAAUCUAACAUAUGCAAAGGAUCUUGUCAACAAUUUGUAUGCUGAAAAUGGUCCUGAUUUUGGAGCUCCAUUACUAUAAAUAUAUCUUGAAAUUAUUAGAAUUCUGAAAAAAAAUGUUGACCAUUUAGAAUGGUAACGUGUAUGUGUUCCCAAGAAAAGAAAAAUUGUUGUGUAUCUUGUGUUUACAGGGCUGUUUUAGCUUGUCUUUCUAUUAUUGCGCACCGCAACAAAGACAAGAAGGAAGGGGAGAAACUGAUCUCUGUGGAUGAUGUUGUGAAGGAACACUGGGCAACUUAUGGAAGAAAUUUCUUUUCUAGAUAUGACUAUGAGGAAUGUGAAUCUGAAGGUGCCAAUAAAAUGGUAGCAUACCUACGAGAAACUGCAUCAAAGAGCAAGACUGGUGAUAAGUUCUAAUGAUAAUUUUGAUAGUUCUAAUGAUCUCCUAAGUUCUAAUGGUGAACUUAUUUUGUCCUAAUUCAAUUAUUAGUUUUGUUAAAGUAUUGUAAUUUUUUAAUUACAAUUUUAGCAUGUAAAUAAUUCAUGUAAAUCAAUAAAAAAUCAAUUUUUUAUACCUUC